rnacentral:lncRNA from 1 species
GUAUACUCGACCACCCGGCCACCUGUUUACUCGACCACCCGGCCACCUGUUUACUCGACCACUCGGCCACCUGUUUACUCAACCACCGUCCACCUACUUACUCGACCACCCGGCUAUCUGGCCACUACUAAUGCACCUCAAAGGCCACUUAACCAGUGUAAGUGUGAGCGUGUUGACCCCUGUUACUACGACUACUGCUGCUGGUGACGUAACCCCUCUACCGACACCACCACCACCACAACAACAAAUAUCUCCAGAUUUACGAAGAUUUUAAACACUGAUUUUGUCCUGAAAUGCAUCCAGAUAAGGUGAGCGAGUUUGUCGAAGGUUGGAUAUUUACUCGUUACGUGACGUCACACCUCAGCACACCUGUACCUCACACAUGACAGAAAUCAGCUGAUCACGAACCCACGAGCUGACGGGCGGACGACUCCAGCUGACCCAGACACGGAGGGUGCAGGGAGGUAACCUCAGCCUCAUUGGUGCAGAACGUUGGAUAGUUUAGAUUCCCCUCCAUACCUUCACGCAGUAAACCACAGCAAAACUAGUAAUUGAACACAUCCAUAUCAUUUGUUACGCCUUGAUACCAGCUGUCCCCUUAGCACCAGCUGCGCCACCCGGGAGAGUCGCUAAGCAGUUACAUCACCCAGACCAUCUUUGUGUCGUUCAUCGUAAGAUGGGUAAAUAUUAUGAGUUUUAUCCUGUCACACACACACACACACACACACACACACACACACGCGCACACACAGCAUCAUGUGAAGUUCCUC